UCAGUUAGAGACGCCCUGCCCCACCGCCCGUCAUUCCCGAUUGUAUUUGCUUGAGUUUCUAAUGUUGUCUCCUUGAAUUCUUAAGGAUCAAAUUACUCUAAGAUUUCGUUAGUGCUAGAGACUGAACCCAGGUCCACAGCCAUGUAAACCACGCAUUCUACCGUGAGCACGACCCUGUUAGUGAGCCAGCCAUGUGCUCCUCCGGGAUUUCUGCUCCAAGCUCAUGGUUGAGUUCCCAUCCUGACUGUCUGCGGUGAUGACUGUGAAUUGGAAGUCAGAAGCCAAAGAAGUCCUUUCCACCCUUGGGUCCCUUAUAUGGGGUGUUUGUCAUUGUAACAACAAAUUAAAACCUUAUACAUAAAGUAUUGCUGGGAUAGUUCAAAUUCUGUCUUCUGAACAGAGUAAAGCAGUUGACUCAGGUUUAAUUAAGCUUUUAUCUUCUGGUUGGAUUUGAGAGGAAGAAUUAAGUCAGGGAAAGCUAAGCAGCCAAGUGAUCUGGGCAGAGGUUCCAUCAGGAGGAGGCCCACUCGCUGAGGAAAAGGUGACCUGGAAGUGUCUAUGAGCUUCGGAACCUUCUGCCUCCACUGUCUAAAUGCUGGGGCUAGAGGAAUACAAUUUAUGCAGUGGGGAAGAUGAACCCAAGGCUUCAUGUGUGCUAGUCAGGACUCGUUCUUGAGAAGAGCAGCUUUGGAAGAGACAGCCAAAAAGUGAUACAGGGCACGAAGAGCGGGAUACGUCUGAUGAGGACAUUGACAGUCAUCCACACACAAGGGAAAGAGGUGAUGGCUGACAGUAGGUGGGAAGGUGCCAGGAUGACAGGUGAGAGCCACUAAGCUCCGCUUACGCCAUGCUGUGGAUGGAGCCUCCAGCUUCAUGCGUGUUAGGAAGCCCUCUACCGACUAAGCUACAUCCCACGCUCAUCAUUCCGUUUUGUUCUUGAACAAAAGUAAACAUUACCUUCCAGUUCUCCCACCUAUGAAGAUCGACGUUCAGUGACACAUGCCUUAGCAAAAAAAAAAAAAAAAAAAAAAAAAAA
rnacentral:lncRNA from 1 species